UUUUUUUUUUUUUUUUGCUUUUUAGGGCUGCACCCAUGGCAUAUGGAGGUUCCCAGAUAAAGGGUCCAAUCAGAGCUGUAGCUGCUGGCCUACACCACAGCCACAGCAACUCAGGAUCUGAGCCACGUCUGUAACCUACACCACAGCUCACAGCAACGCCAGAUCCUUAACCCACUGAGUGAGGCCAGGGAUCAAACCCAUGUCCUAAUGGAUACUAGUCAGGUUUGUUACCACUGAACCACAAUGGGAACUCACUUUUUUUUCAUGAUUAUUAUACUACACAUUCUGUACUUGGAUUUCAACAGUUAACAUAUUAGAACUACUUUUCAGUGUUUUUUUAAUAAUCAUUAUGAUUCAGUUUAUGUCGUUAUAUUAUUCAUUCUUAUGGAUGAAAUAAUUUGCUUAACUACUGUACUAUUAAAUACCAGGCUGCAUCCAUUAUUUUCCUAUUGUAUGUGUAUAAAAACCUACCUUCAGCAUCAUCAUGAACCCAGAUUUUAGCAUGCUUCUAAUUACCUUCUUAGGAAAUAUAUCCAGAUGUGGAAGUACUGGGUAGUUAAGAGUGAGUUUUAUAAUCCACUUUUUGAAAAAUCUAAAAUGUUUCUAAUAUUUAUCCAAGCACUGUGUGUUACUAGGUUGUUAGUCCUUAAAAUCAGUGAUAAACUAAAUCUCACCUUUUAAACUCUCCCUUGCAACAGGUUACUGUCAAUUACCCAACAGCUCUGCAUGGAGUUAACAGAUUAGAAAUUUCAACUUGUACCCUUAUUAUAAAUUACUUAUCUGACAAUAAUGUUAUCAAGUUACUUUAUUUGGCACAAUGAGUAUUAUACAGAAAAAUACAAUGUUUGCCGGCAUAACAGAGAACUUCUGUUUUGCCAAGAAGAUUAAAAUGGAUGAUUUUUAUAGUUUCAAGUAGAUUCUGUGGAGAGGUUUCCUAGCCGCAGCUGGAUCAAGCAAAGCCACCAUGGAACAAUACCAAUUUUAAUUGCAUGUGCUCUGCCCUAAAAGCUUAAAAGCUAAAGCUACAGAAAGCUAGACAUUUUAACUACUUUUUUUUUUAAAUGUACUGAAAUAUUGAACCAACACAUACUUACAUAAUAAAAAUCCCUUUCGCUCUAGUCUGGCAUUUUGUGAAAUGCUACAGGAAAAAAAAAUUUUAGAACGGGAAAGGAAUUUAGAAAUAAUAAUUUCAUCCAAUGCCUUACUUUAUAGAUGAAGAAAAUGAGGCCAAGUAUGUUUAAAACCCUUUUUAAGACUUAGAAAAUUCAUGCCAAAGUCAGACUAGAACUGAGUCUCCCCACUCCUAGUUCCCCUUUGUGUCUACUUUUGAGAUUUGAGAAAUGGUAUGGUGAAGUCCAGAAAGACUAGAUCUGGGAAAAGGAAGGAACUUUAGUCAUAGGAACCAGGCCUCAUUUAUGUCAAAUAUAUGUGAUAUUAAAAAUUUCGGAUAAAGGCGAAAAGGGAGGCUAAUAAACUUGUUGGUGUGUCUUAGUCAUCAUAUGGGCAAGAUCAUGUGCCCAUAGUGUUAAUCUGGGUCACAGAAUUUACGGUUAGGAUCACCCAGUAUACAGUAAGUGGUAAUAGGUUCUUCUCGACUACCUAAAAUAGUAUUAAUUAAGUAAUUAUUUUCUUCUCUAAGGGACAAUUCAUUAAUGUAGGUAUAGGCCGAAUCCAAGUUUCAAAUGACUGAAAGUUGGACACUGUUAUCAGAGGUGAAGACCUGUCUGAAUGUUUCACGAGGCUGUACAGUCACUGUGAUGCAGUGUUACUGAGUGUAGCCCAUGGACCAAUAACAUCAGCUUCACCUGGGAGCUUGUUAGAAACACAAAAAUCAGCCCACCUAGACCUAUCUGCAAGAAGAGCCCAAGAAGCCAUGCUUUAACAAGCUCUCCAGGUGAUACCCAUGCAUGCUAAAGUUUAAGAAGCAUUGUUCCGAUUGAGUCAUUUCAUACAUUGGGUUCAUAUGAGAAAUCUUUAAAAAUACUGAUGCCCGAGUCCUAUCCCAGAUUCACAUUUAAUUAGUCUGGGGUGUAGCCUGUGUUUUAUCAUGGUUGAGAAUCAACACUCCAACAAUUCAUUUGAAGCAUCUGUGUUGGUUCCUUUUUAUAAAAUUAUCAAAAACAGUCCAGCAGUUUCAUAUGAACAUGUUACAUAACCCAGAAAUCCCACUCAUAAAUAUCUCCCUGCCUCCCCCCUAAAUAACCAUACAUCUAUACCAAAACUUGUAGUGGAUACCCAUACCAGCUUUAAUCGUAAUAGUCAAACACUGGAAACAACCCAAAUUCACCAAAUAGUGAUGGAGAGGAAGUGAACUGUGCCAUAUCCAUAGAAUGGAUUACCAGGCAAAUUUGGAAGAAAGGAACACUUACAUAGGCAGCAGCAUGGAUUAAUCUGAAAAGCAUUUAGCAUGCUAAAUAAAAGAAAGAGGGCAUAAAAGAUUGAUUCAAUUCAUGCAAAAUUCUAAAAAAUGACAGAACUAUACUGACAAAAAAUGUAUCAUGGAUGGCCAGGAGCUGGGGCCAGUCUAGGGACUUGACUAUAAGACUCACAGAGGAACUUGUUGAGGUAAUGGGAAUAUUUUAUAUCUUGAUCUGGUGGUAGGUGAUUCCACGAUAGUAUGCAUUUAUCAAAACUCAUCAAAUAGUACAACAGAAUGUAUGAAUUUUAUCACAUGUAGAUUAUACUUCAGUGUAGCUUAAAAGAAAACAAAAAAAACAAAAAUUGUUGGCAGGAAACGCUGGCCAUUUCAUAUGUACCUUCUUUCUGGGCAUAGAGACUGUUUCAUGGACUGUAGCUUUUAUCUGAGAUCACCAAAUAUAUACCAGUCCUUAGCCUUUUGUAGCUCUCUUUUUUUAAAGUUAUUUAACAAGUCAGAUAUAAGUCUGGAGCUGCUGCUAACCAUCUAGCCACUAUGAUGGGAAGCCAGUCAGAAAAGAAGGCCAUAUUCUAUGAUUUCACAUUUAAUUCUUAUAACCACCCUAAGAGAGAGGUAUUAUUACCCCCACUUUAUGGGUAAGAAAACUGAGAUUCGUUUUCC
rnacentral:lncRNA from 1 species